rnacentral:rRNA from 1 species
CGCCGGGAAUCUCACCGGGGGCGACAGCAGGAUGACGGCCAGGUUAAAGGCCUUGCCCGACGCGCUGAGGGGAGGUGCAUGGCCGUCGCCAGCUCGUGCCGUGAGGUGUCCUGUUAAGUCAGGCAACGAGCGAGACCCCCGCCCCUAGUUGCUACCCCAGGGGCGACCCUGGGGGCACACUAGGGGGACUGCCGCCGCUAAGGCGGAGGAAGGAGGGGGCCACGGCAGGUCAGCAUGCCCCUAAUCCCCCGGGCUGCACGCGGGCUACAAUGGCGGGGACAGCGGGUGCCGACCCCGAAAGGGGGAGGCAAUCCCUCAAACCCCGCCGCAGUUGGGAUCGAGGGCUGCAACUCGCCCUCGUGAACGCGGAAUCCCUAGUAACCGCGCGUCAACAUCGCGCGGUGAAUACGUCCCUGCUCC